GAUGAACGCUGGCGGCGUGCCUAAUACAUGCAAGUCGAGCGAACGGACGAGAAGCUUGCUUCUCUGAUGUUAGCGGCGGACGGGUGAGUAACACGUGGAUAACCUACCUAUAAGACUGGGAUAACUUCGGGAAACCGGGGCUAAUACCGGAUAAUAUUUUGAACCGCAUGGUUCAAAAGUGAAAGACGGUCUUGCUGUCACUUAUAGAUGGAUCCGCGCUGCAUUAGCUAGUUGGUAAGGUAACGGCUUACCAAGGCAACGAUGCAUAGCCGACCUGAGAGGGUGAUCGGCCGCACUGGAACUGAGACACGGUCCGGACUCCUACGGGAGGCAGCAGUAGGGAAUCUUCCGCAAUGGGCGAAAGCCUGACGGAGCAACGCCGCAUGAGUGAUGAAGGUCUUCGGAUCGUAAAACUCUGUUAUUAGGGAAGAACAUAUGUGUAAGUAACUGUGCACAUCUUGACGGUACCUAAUCAGAAAGCCACGGCUAACUACGUGCCAGCAGCCGCGGUAAUACGUAGGUGGCAAGCGUUAUCCGGAAUUAUUGGGCGUAAAGCGCGCGUAGGCGGUUUUUUAAGUCUGAUGUGAAAGCCCACGGCUCAACCGUGGAGGGUCAUUGGAAACUGGAAAGCUUGAGUGCAGAAGAGGAAAGUGGAAUUCCAUGUGUAGCGGUGAAAUGCGCAGAGAUAUGGAGGAACACCAGUGGCGAAGGCGACUUUCUGGUCUGUAACUGACGCUGAUGUGCGAAAGCGUGGGGAUCAAACAGGAUUAGAUACCCUGGUAGUCCACGCCGUAAACGAUGAGUGCUAAGUGUUAGGGGGUUUCCGCCCCUUAGUGCUGCAGCUAACGCAUUAAGCACUCCGCCUGGGGAGUACGACCGCAAGGUUGAAACUCAAAGGAAUUGACGGGGACCCGCACAAGCGGUGGAGCAUGUGGUUUAAUUCGAAGCAACGCGAAGAACCUUACCAAAUCUUGACAUCCUUUGACAACUCUAGAGAUAGAGCCUUCCCCUUCGGGGGACAAAGUGACAGGUGGUGCAUGGUUGUCGUCAGCUCGUGUCGUGAGAUGUUGGGUUAAGUCCCGCAACGAGCGCAACCCUUAAGCUUAGUUGCCAUCAUUAAGUUGGGCACUCUAAGUUGACUGCCGGUGACAAACCGGAGGAAGGUGGGGAUGACGUCAAAUCAUCAUGCCCCUUAUGAUUUGGGCUACACACGUGCUACAAUGGACAAUACAAAGGGCAGCGAAACCGCGAGGUCAAGCAAAUCCCAUAAAGUUGUUCUCAGUUCGGAUUGUAGUCUGCAACUCGACUACAUGAAGCUGGAAUCGCUAGUAAUCGUAGAUCAGCAUGCUACGGUGAAUACGUUCCCGGGUCU
rnacentral:rRNA from 1 species